rnacentral:tRNA from 1 species
AGGUCUGUAGUUCAAUUGGUAGAGCGCUGGACUCCAAAUCCAGGUGUUGGGGGUUCGAGUCCCUCCAGACCUG